CACACACACACACACACACACACACACACACACACACACACAUUGACACACACUCUACAGAACAGACACCUGGCAGAUUGGCAGUACGAAAGACAACCACUUGGCAUGACUUCCUUCCAGGGAGGACUGAUGUAUCAUCAGAGCAGAGAAACAGAGCAAUCCAGUAGAACAGAACAUGCUGUUGAUAUUAUGGGAUACUGUAAUACUGUAAUACUUUAAUACUGUAAUACUGUAAUACUUUAAUACUGUAAUACAAUAAUACUUUAAAACUUUAAAAAACAACUCUCUGUUGUUAAAAUGGAAGGCUGAGAUCUGAAGCCUGGUGUUAGCUUCCCGAGCUAUUGCCUUGGCUUUAGCUCAGAGGACAAACACAGUCCUACGGUUUAAAUCCAUUUUAAAGCCUUCUAUCCCAGGUUGUAUGGCCUGCAGGAGACCAGGGUUUGAAUCUAGGUUGAUGGCACUCCUUACCUCCAGACAACUUGGGUAGGUUCUCCAUCCCUUCUCUGUUGAAGUCACAUGGGCUCUGAGCCAAAGGAAGUUGGCCAAUCCAGUGGUAGUGUAUAAUGGAAUUAGUAACUUAAUGAAUGCUCAAGGUCCCUUAAUACACUUGGCCUUAUUAGAGUUGACUUAGCUAAAGUGGCUUAAGAUGUAGAGAUUACAGGCCUAAAGGGCAGAGGCCAUCUGGUUAGGUCGUAGAGCAGAGCAGGUGUUCUAGCAUGGUAAGGACCAGGUAAGGUAGUGUUGGUGUCAUGACACGGUAAGGACCAGGUAAGGUAGUGUUGGUGUCAUGGCAUAGUAAGGACCAGGUAAGGUAGUGUUGGUGUCAUGGCACGGUAAGGACCAGGUAAGGUAGUGUUGGUGUCAUGACACGGUAAGGACCAGGUAAGGUAGUGUUGGUGUCAUGGCACGGUAAGGACCAGGUAAGGUAGUGUUGGUGUCAUGACACGGUAAGGACCAGGUAAGGUAGUGUUGGUGUCAUGGCACGGUAAGGACCAGGUAAGGUAGUGUUGUGUCAUGACACGGUAAGGACCAGGUAAGGUAGUGUUGGUGUCAUGGCACGGUAAGGACCAGCCAAGGUAGUGUUGGUGUUAUGACACGGUAAGGACCAGGUAAGGUAGUGUUGGUGUCAUGGCACGGUAAGGACCAGCCAAGGUAGUGUUGGUGUCAUGGCACGGUAAGGACCAGCCAAGGUAGUGUUGGUGUUAUGACACGGUAAGGACCAGGUAAGGUAGUGUUGGUGUCAUGGUAUGGUAAGGACCAGGUAAGGUAGUGUUGGUGUCAUGGUAUGGUAAGGACCAGGUAAGGUAGUGUUGGUGUUAUGACACGGUAAGGACCAGGUAAGGUAGUGUUGGUGUCAUGACACGGUAAGGACCAGGUAAGGUAGUGUUGGUGUCAUGGUAUGGUAAGGACCAGGUAAGGUAGUGUUGGUGUCAUGGUAUGGUAAGGACCAGGUAAGGUAGUGUUGGUGUCAUGACACGGUAAGGACCAGCUAAGGUAGUGUUGGUGUCAUGACACGGUAAGGACCAGGUAAGGUAGUGUUGUGUCAUGACACGGUAAGGACCAGGUAAGGUAGUGUUUGUGUCAUGGCACGGUAAGGACCAGGUAAGGUAGUGUUGUGUCAUGGCACGGUAAGGACCAGGUAAGGUAGUGUUUGUGUCAUGGCACGGUAAGGACCAGGUAAGGUAGUGUUGUGUCAUGACACGGUAAGGACCAGGUAAGGUAGUGUUGGUGUUAUGACACGGUAAGGACCAGCUAAGGUAGUGUUGGUGUUAUGACACGGUAAGGACCAGGUAAGGUAGUGUUGGUGUAAUGACACGGUAAGGACCAGCUAAGGUAGUGUUUGUGUCAUGGCACGGUAAGGACCAGGUAAGGUAGUGUUGUGUCAUGGCACGGUAAGGACCAGGUAAGGUAGUGUUUGUGUCAUGGCACGGUAAGGACCAGGUAAGAAGCCGAUUAAGAGUAAGUAAGUAGUAAAGAAGACAGAGGAAAUGAGAGAGAGAUCAGUGGUCUUCAGGAGUAUGUCAUGUAGUCUGUCAGUGCUUUAGGACUUGACAAGGUUUGUAGUGUGUGGCUGACUAAUAACAGGCAGAGACAGACCAAUAUACUGGGGACCUCUGAUAUGGUUCAGAGUUUGUAUUUUGAGUGGAACAUCCAUGGACAUUGUCAACGUGACAAAAAAAAACAUCCUCAUACAACUAUUAUACAACAUGACCAUGAUUUCACCAAAUACCUCAGAAUAACGUCAUCGCAACCUGUUUUUGCUCGCUGGGUCAAUGUACAGUAUUCUGCAAUGGGAACACUUGAGUGCUUUGGUAGAUGCUCAUGGACACAUUCAAGUACUUGUCAUUGUUGACCUUUUGAGGACUGCUCUCUUGCGGUUUUCAUCCCUUUAAGAGCCACUGUGCAGCUUUACACAGAUGUAGGAUCAUAAUUUGAUAACUUUUUUGUUGCUGAAAACUUGAGGUGUAUUCAAGGUUUAAGGUGGCUUCUAAAGUUUGCAAUUUUCACUUUAAAGUGUCAGACUUGAUUUAACCUAACGUAAAAUGUAUCACCCCUACCAAAAUGUACAUUCAUUACAAUCCAUCAUAAUAAUUCACAUUUCUUGUUGCUGCAGGAUUAUUUUCAUGCUGUAGCAAACUGGCUGAAAUUAAGAUCCUACAUCUGUAGAUAUUGAUUCAAUGGAUUCAAUAGGUUAGGUAAGGUUAAGGGUUGGUGAAGAUGUUUGAUAUACAUGUUUUCUGCAGAACUUGAACAGAGUUAAGUAUUGACAACUGUUUUAUAAACGCUCUUUGUCCUUUUGAGAACUACUCUAUUGCUCAAUUCAACAGGUUAGGUAAGGCUUGCUGAUGACCUUCAAUGUGCACUUCUCCUACAGAAUCUUAAGCGUGAACAAAAUAGCUGAGAGCAGGAUUACAUGGUUCAGUCUGGAGGUCUUGAGUCCUUGGCCCAGGGAACACUGGUUUUCUUCUGACAUGAACGUGUUGAAAACCCUCUCAAACCAUCACUUUCAGAAUGUACUAUAAAGGACUGUUCUCUUUCCACACCCCAUCAUCUUAUUCAUCAGCCAGACAGCGUAAAGGACUGUUCUCUUUCCAGACCCCCUCAUCUUAUUCAUCAGCCAGACAGAGUAAAGGACUGUUCUCUUUCCACACCCCAU